GCUGAAAGCCUUUGUCACCAGAUCAUCGGGAGGCCCCUCUUAGGGAAUGUGGCUGGCACUAGCUAUGUGUCUACACAUCUCCUGACAGUCAGAAAGGAUUAGGUGCCCUGGAUUUCAGACUUAGAAACUCUGGGUCAGCAUCGUCCAGCGCUUUGCUCAUUCACUUACUCGACUGAGGGAGGAAAGAACUUUCUCCCCUGGAAAGCAUUUUCAUGAACAUGAGGUUCAGUCCAUUAUCAUCAUGGCAGGGAGCAUGGCAGCAUGCAGGCAGACAUGGUGCUGGAGAAGGAGCCAAGAGUUCUACAUCUGGAUCCACAGGCAGCAGGAAGAAAGAGAGCUCCACUGGGACUGCAUUGAACACUGCAAAGCUCAAAUCCCAUCCCCCAGUGACACACUUCCUCCAACAAGACCACACCCCCUAAUCCUUCAAGCAAUGCCAUUCCCUGAUGACCAAGCUUUCAAAGAUAUGAGCCUGUGGGAGGCCAUCCUUACUUCAAUCAACACAGCCACCAUGUCAAGUGACUCUUGCCCUGUCUCUGGCUUCUGAAUUGUUAGACAUGAACCCAAUGUCUGUGUGAGAAAAUGAAGAAAGC
ensembl:lincRNA Gm17033 predicted gene 17033